UUUAUGCUAAUAGAACAAUAACGUUGUAAACUGGUCAGGAUGGGAACAUAGCAGCCACGUCAAUAGUGUUGUGUCUGUUAGCUUUUUUUU
rnacentral:SRP_RNA from 1 species